rnacentral:rRNA from 1 species
AUGAUUUUAUACCCUGGUAGUCCACGCCGUAAACGAUGUCUACUUGGAGGUUGUGGCCUUGAGCCGUGGCUUUCGGAGCUAACGCGUUAAGUAGACCGCCUGGGGAGUACGGUCGCAAGAUUAAAACUCAAAUGAAUUGACGGGGGCCCGCACAAGCGGUGGAGCAUGUGGUUUAAUUCGAUGCAACGCGAAGAACCUUACCUACUCUUGACAUCCAGAGAAUCCAGCGGAGACGCAGGAGUGCCUUCGGGAGCUCUGAGACAGGUGCUGCAUGGCUGUCGUCAGCUCGUGUCGUGAGAUGUUGGGUUAAGU